rnacentral:rRNA from 1 species
AUGACACCGCAUCUGCCCGUGUCGUCCCACCCCGCCCACCACCUGCUCGACGCGCUGCCCCCGUCGCCGCACCACCGCCGCCUCCGCAGGCGCCGCCGCUUCUGCCCGCCGCGCCCUAGGGCCUCCUCCUCCCCCUCCUCCCUCCGCUGCCGCGCCGCCGCCGCCGCCGCGCCGCAGCCGGCGGCGGCGGCGGCGAGGACGAGGGUGUUCGUCGUGUCGGACCUGCACACCGACUACCCGGAGAACAUGGAGUGGGUGCGCCGGCUCGCGGUGCGGGCGGGGCCGCCGGGCGCCGGGGAGGGGUUCGACGCGCUCGUCGUCGCCGGGGACGUGGCGGAGACCAGGGACAACUUCGCGCGCACCAUGGAGGCCCUCAGGGCGCGCUUCGACGCCGUCUUCUACGUGCCCGGCAACCACGACCUCUGGCUGCGCCGCGAGGGUGGCCGCUACGUGGAUUCGAUGGAGAAACUGACUGCAUUGCUUGAUGCGUGUAGUGAGCUGGGUGUGGAUACAGGCCCUAGAACGAUAGGUGACUUAGGGAUCAUACCAUUGUUUUCAUGGUAUCACAAGAGCUUUGACAAGGAAAAGGAUGUUAACAGUGUGCGUGUUCCUUCGUUAGAGAUGGCUUGUAAAGACUUUCAUGCUUGCCAAUGGCCUUUGGACUUGGGAAGUGAUGAUGAGGCUCUUGCUCUUUACUUUGACAAGUUGAAUGACAAGAACAAUGAUGCUAUUGAAGAAGUAAAAAAAAAGAGCAAACAGAUACUUACAUUUUCACACUUUGUACCAAGGCAAGAGUUAUGUCCAGAGAAGCGAAUGCUUUACUAUCCAAACCUUCCGAAGGUCAUCGGCUCUGAUUAUUUGGAAAGAAGGCUGAGAGCUAUACACGACAACGCUAAAGAUGGAGCAGCCUGUCAUGUAUUCGGGCAUACACAUUUCUGUUGGGAUUCUGUGGUUGACGGUAUCAGGUAUGUCCAAGCGCCUCUGGCAUACCCUCGAGAAAGAAAGCGAAGGAUAAAUGGAGGCCAGGGAUGGUUGCCGUUUUGUGUAUAUCGUGAUGGAUUCAACCCUGAAAUAUACCCGGCUAUAUGGUCUGACUAUUACAACAAGAACAGAAGGGAGCCUGAGAACACUCAGCUUGCGCCGUGGGUUGCCAAAUAUUUUUCAAAGUACUACGGACCCCCUGUUUUUGCCAAACAAACUGAAUCCGGUUGA